CUAACAAUACUAACGACAUACACUAGAUCAGGCUCUUCAUCAAACGAUCAUUAUUUAGAGUUAAUCAGUACUUGAACCCCUAAUGGUCCAUUUCGGCAGAUCAGAAGCUAAGUAAACGAUUUGAUACAAAAAAAAAAACAGAGAGCCUAAUAACAUGAUAGAUAUUACACUAUACAUAAAGAAAGCCUAAAGUCACAAAAUUCAAACUUCAGAUUCAGACAAAGCAAAAAACACAGCUUACUGUCAGACAAAAGUCACUGAUAGAAA
rnacentral:lncRNA from 1 species